CCGGUUAUGGUCGUCGAGGUCAACUUUACCUUCUAACUGUAUCUACUUUUCGCCAGUGCCAACCGUUGUUUUUAAAUACCUUUCAUCUUUGUAAUCAUCCAUUUAGGCUGCAGGACUGCUACUUCUUUGUUCAUAUAAGCUUAUCCGUGCAUAUGAUGCUCCUGUGGUCCUGUCUUUACUUACCUGAUGUAAUUUAUGAAUGUGCACAGCCACCAAUGCAUUUUUACUGCUCUAACUUAUUUUUUAAAGAUGAUACUGUCACUUCUCUUGGAUUGCUCUGCUUUCUAGAGUUCAGUAAGUUGCAUAAGUUUAGCAAUAGUUGCAUGAACAGGUGUUGCCCACAGGACAAAAAACAAUUGAAAAGAACACCACAUAGUGAACGCCUCAGCAAACAACAAGAAGAUUGGUGCACUCAGUCACACAAAGGAGGCGCGCCCUGGGCGCCCCCCAGCCACUAGUGCUUAUAGAAAUGUGGCAGUAGAGGAAAAUAAACAAAUAUUUUCUUUAUUUGCCUACAUAUGCUUAAUUAUGUGAUCCAGUUCCCGUUCCAUGUAGAAUAGUCAUUUGAUGGGUUAUAGAAACCUAUUAGGCCAUGAGUAUAUGUUUAGUUGUUCUCUCAUGUUGGUUAGGAACAACUUUCAGUGAAUUAUAAUAAAAUCAAUAAAUAAUUAUGUAGUUGUAGUAGGUGAGCCAUGGUGCAUAGAUUUGAGUUGAUAACUAACAAUAACCUGCUAACUAAUCUUAAAGUUAUCUCUGAAGCUUCUGUUUCCCAUAUGUUAGAGUUCCUGAGUUCAGUCCACCCAAAAGAAGUUUGCCACUACACAAUAAUUUUUUAGCUCUCUGUUCUGCAUAUAUUAUUUUUAUUUUAAAUAUUUGUAUCCAUUGAUAUCAACUUUAAAAGGAAAUUUAUAUGUGUGUACCAGGCAACGAACACAACAAUGGCACUACUGUAUGUGGAAUAAGAAUGCAUAUGUGUAGAUUACAUUCAGAAGGUUGAGUGGUUGUUGUUCGCGUACCUAGGGCUCAAAUAACUAUCCCCCAAAGUGUCGUCUUAUUUUCUGUCAUAAGUGUUUCCAGCCUGCUACACACCCCAGGCCGAAACCACAAACUACAAGAUGGAUGAUCUCACAACAAUGGCACUACUGUAUUUGAAAUAAGAAUGCAUAUGUGUACAUUACAUUCAGAAGGUUGAGUGGUUGUUGUUCGCGUACCUAGGGUUCAAAGAACUAUCCCCAAAGUGUCGUCUUAUUUUCUGUCGUAAGUGUUUCCAGCCUGCUACACACCCCAGGCCGAAACCACAAACUACAAGAUGGAUAACCACGUGUAAAGUGUGCAUCAUGCUUUUUCAUUGCACAAUAUUUUUAUGUUUUCUUCCUUCCUUCUGUGCUAGAAUUAUUUUUGUUCUACUAAGCGAGGCAUGUAUUUAGUCUGUAAUUUUUAACACUUAAAUUACGUGGCUAUAUAUUUUAUUCCUGUUAACUCAGUAUUUUUAGGGUCUGUCAACUCCAUUUGUUUACUGUGUGGCCUAAAAAUUUAUAGGUAUCGUCAGCGUGUUGUAAUAUAUCUUGGUCUAUACUUAGGUAUAUAUUUUUAUGUUGGUGUACUGAUAUACGAAGGCAAAAAUGUAACCACUUAAGAAUGAAGGUUAA
rnacentral:lncRNA from 1 species